rnacentral:rRNA from 1 species
GAGAUGAGAAUGUGCCUUCGGGAACCGUGAGACAGGUGCUGCAUGGCUGUCGUCAGCUCGUGUUGUGAAAUGUUGGGUUAAGUCCCGCAACGAGCGCAACCCUUAUCCUUUGUUGCCAGCGGUCCGGCCGGGAACUCAAAGGAGACUGCCAGUGAUAAACUGGAGGAAGGUGGGGAUGACGUCAAGUCAUCAUGGCCCUUACGACCAGGGCUACACACGUGCUACAAUGGCGCAUACAAAGAGAAGCGACCUCGCGAGAGCAAGCGGACCUCAUAAAGUGCGUCGUAGUCCGGAUUGGAGUCUGCAACUCGACUCCAUGAAGUCGGAAUCGCUAGUAAUCGUGGAUCAGAAUGCCACGGUGAAUACGUUCCCGGGCCUUGUACACACCGCCCGUCACACCAUGGGAGUGGGUUGCAAAAGAAGUAGGUAGCUUAACCUUCGGGAGGGCGCUUACCACUUUGUGAUUCAUGACUGGGGUGAAGUCGUAACAAGGUAACCGUAGGGGAACCUGCGGUUGGA